GGGCUUGUUCAAACGCAGAUCGCCGGUCCCUUCUCCCAGAGUUUCCGACUCAGGAGGUGGGGCCAGAGAAUCUGCAUUUCUAACAAGUUCCAGACGUUGCUAAUGCCAUUGGAAUACAUUUUAAGAACUUCUGCUUUAGAGGGAACUCCGGACCGAUCUCAGCUUCCCAGAGAAACGACCCCCGCAAAGAGAAUUGGAAACUCCAAGGCAAUCCAAGGCCCGGCAUUUUUACAACAGACCGCAGAGGAGGGAGAGCAAAGUUGCUCAGCUACGGCUAGCUCACUGCCGCGAAGGAACAGGAGCUCAUUGGAAAUCAAGAUUUUCGUUUGAAUUUUCCCGAUGUUUAAGCGUUGGGACAAGGUCCAAGGCCUUGGAAUCUGAGUGGAGCAGCACCGGACUGCCCGCGAACUCCCUGCGCUGGGGUCAGAACUAGCGUCUUUGCCCUACCCUGCGGAAGUCAGAGCCGCCCUGAGCCGCGUCGUGAGUCGGAAAAUGCGUCUUAGAAAAACCCUCCAGGAGAGGAGCCGCUGGGGGACCACAGCGUGGGCAAAGGGGCCGGGGUUAAAGCGAAAGGAACCCAGCGGCCGGCAGGGUCACUCGCGGCUGUGCACUCACACCUGGGAGCAGCCUCCGGAGUGACCGCCCCCCGCGCCCGCGCACGCAGUGCUCGGUCGGUGCCUCCAGGGGGCGCUGCGGCUCUUCCCGCGGGCCGCUGAGCUCCCGCCCGCGGCUGCGCUUUCUCUUCCUAGCCCAUCCCUGUGUAGAGCGUCGACUCCAACAUACUUUUUCAAAAGACAAAAUUCUUAGUCUUUUGGCCCCUGCCUCAGCACUGUCAGUUCUGAGCCCAGUGCCCGCGAUCCUCCCCUAGGUUUUCGUGGGCUUCCUCGCUACUCCUGGACUGGAGUGCACGCGCCCAGAGAAUAGCUGGGCUCCCGACUCCUCCGGGCUCCAGCGAAGCCGCAAACAGUGCGGGAAGUUCAAAUGCAAAAUGUCCCCGUCCUGCAGAAGCAGGGGAAAGCUGGGGAGAAGGGACUCGAGUCCUCAGAGGUAACGGCAGCUGGGAUUCCUGAGAAAAGAUGGCAUUUCCAUCAUUUGUAUCCUACAGGGUAAAAGAUUUUAGGAUAUCCGCAGCACAGAGUGGGAGAGGCUCGGGUUCAACUCCAGGGAAAGUCUGUCUGACACCUGCUCGCUGCUUAACUGGCAGAGCCCUCUGGGUGGGCCGGCGGGGAAAGGGCCUACGCUGCGGGCCCCCUCCUCCUCCAGCUCCUCCGCGUUUCUUCUCCCAGAUCUUCAUCCGGUCCUCCAGGGUAAUAAACUUUCGGCGGUUCGAGUUUGGGUAGCAACUGCUCGCGCGCCCUCGUCAGUGUGUUAGCCAUUUCCCUGGAAGCGUCCUUGGUGUCGAAAGCCCAGAGCCGCGAGGAAGCAGAUGACCGAGUCGGCGGAAAUGUCCGAGUGAACCAGCAGCGCAGCUCUCGGAUGGCGCACUGGGAGUGGGACAGCUGAGCACAGACUCAGUGCCCUGAGCGCAGCUGGGUCCUGUAGGCUCUGGGACUUCCCUCUCCUCACACCCAGACCCCGCAACUCGCCGUGGGCCCAGUGGCCUGUCUUCCAUGCCGGCCGUUGGCGCCCGGGGUGUCCGACCGACUGUGCUGUUCCUAGGUGGGCCCCCACAAUGCGUGCGCUCUAGACGCCAGCGUAGGCAAGGGAAGUUUCCUGGGCUGAGGGUGGAGAAACUCAACGGUCCCUCCCGGGCGGGCGCUGAGGCGCCGUGAGAGCACUGCAUGCAACGCCGCGCCGCGCUCAGCCUGGGUCUCCCUUUGGCCGUGGGGCACGCACCUGCCCUCUGCAGCAGCCAGGCUUGGACUCUGCCGAGGGGCUGCCCGGCCACGCGGCUUCCCCCAAAGCCUGGAGCUCGCCGACUCUUCCCUACCUUUCAAAGACCGCAGCGCUCGGGCCAGCGUGGCCCAGACUCCACUGUGGAACUUCGGAGGCUGGGGUGGGCGAAGUAAACACGUUUAUGGAAAAACCUGGGCUCAGGAGGUUUGCGGAAAGAGGGCUCAGCUCGUAGGUGGUUGGAAAUUCCGUCCACCCUGCGAGAAAAGCAGGCGGUUCCGCACACAACAUAUAUACACACGCGCACACACAGGGUGGGAAGGUGUGAAGCCCGCCGCUCGGGAGUUGCCCCCACUUUGAUGAAAAGGAAAUACGAAGCGUAGGAACAACUCUUCAGGUCACCACCCCGGGACUGUGUGUCCUGGAGGUCUGAAAGAAGAGAAAGUUCCCUCCAAAUCUUCCAAAUUGAGAAAAGCUGCGGAAGGAAUGAGGCGGUUAGAGAGAGGGGACCGCAAGCAUCCCCGUAGCUGGGGCUCAGGACUGAGCGCUAAAAUGAAACCACCCCUGUAGAUCCCACUAGGGAAAAUGUCUUUUUAAAACCCUUGAACUCUUAGGCAUUCUGCUACUUCCAUGCUUGUCAAAUCUGCUUUGAAGCAGUUAAAUAAUGAAGGAUAUUAAACACUGGUCUCCGUUCCAAACUCACUCUUUAAUCUUUGCGAAUUUGAAAUUAGAAGGAAAGGAAAAGAUCUGCUAUCCCUGAAUUAUGUUUUACCAAAGGAACGAAAAAUUCUAUACACUUCAGCAUAAAUCAAAUAGAAGGAAUUUUAUCUUAAUAAAAUAAUAUCUCGUAGCUUCUACCUGGCUCCCCAAUCACUGGUUAAUAACCUUUUGACAGUUUUUAGCCUUCUGCUUAUAUUUGUCCACUUAUAUUUGUUCACGAUGGAGAUUAUUUUAAUUGUCCUUCGGGGCGGCACAUCCAAAGCCACCUUUUGGCGGAAUACUUUUGAAUUAUACAGCCUCUUGGCUGCAAGAUCUGCGCCCCUCAAAGGGAGGACUUGCUGGGGGGGGGCGGAGGGCCAAGCCAAAUCCCCUCUGGCGUCUCGUCUGGGACGAAGGGCGUUUUGCUCAGGGUUGCUCAAGAAUAUGUCUUCUAGGAAAAGGCUGUUUAAAAUGAGCGUGUGUUAUUCCUUUCUGUCACUCGGUCACCCUACUUCCAGAGUAGCUGAAGUGCGUUCU
rnacentral:lncRNA from 1 species